AGUGAACGCUGGCGGUAGGCCUAACACAUGCCAGUCGAACGGCAGCACAGUAAGAGCUUGCUCUUACGGGUGGCGAGUGGCGGACGGGUGAGGAAUACAUCGGAAUCUACUUUUUCGUGGGGGAUAACGUAGGGAAACUUACGCUAAUACCGCAUACGACCUACGGGUGAAAGCAGGGGAUCUUCGGACCUUGCGCGAUUGAAUGAGCCGAUGUCGGAUUAGCUAGUUGGCGGGGUAAAGGCCCACCAAGGCGACGAUCCGUAGCUGGUCUGAGAGGAUGAUCAGCCACACUGGAACUGAGACACGGUCCAGACUCCUACGGGAGGCAGCAGUGGGGAAUAUUGGACAAGGGGCGCAAGCCUGAUCCAGCCAUACCGCGUGGGUGAAGAAGGCCUUCGGGUUGUAAAGCCCUUUUGUUGGGAAAGAAAAGCAGCAGGUUAAUACCCCGCUGUUCUGACGGUACCCAAAGAAUAAGCACCGGCUAACUUCGU
rnacentral:rRNA from 1 species